rnacentral:lncRNA from 1 species
GUCUUGCACUCAAGUUAAUUGAGGAAUUCACCCAAAGGAUGUUAAGGGCACUGGGACAAAGGACAUUAAGGACAUUGAGGAAUGUCCAGUGUGUUUCUAGUUACAAAAAUCGAUGCAUCCUCUGAAAGAGUAUUGGGAACUUUGCUUAGUCCUGCUCUCUCUCCUUUUCUUCUCCUGCUUAUCAAGAGCUGUAAUCAAGAGCACCCCAUUAAAGGAGCAUAGUCUGAGAAAAUCAGCUACAGGCAUGCUUGAGUGUAGACAGUUGAGAAGAUCAUCGACCACGAAAGCCUAGAAUGCAUCCUGUCACGUGGCCUGGGGACUGUGGCUGUCAUAGCAGCUCUGGUGGGCAUGAUUGAAGGAUGAUGACAGUUGUGCGCCCAGAAAUUACAGUGUGGUCAAAGAAAGCAGGACAAGUGCAAACAGCAGGGCCAGAAUUUCUAUGGCUUGGCUGAUGGUAAGCUGAAUUUCUUUUUCCAAACCCAGUGGUGCAGUGGGGUAUGGAUGUCCCAUAAUCAAGAACUAAAGGAAGAGAUGCUUGCAAUAGAUAAUGGAAACAGACAGUUCAAGUGCAGCCAAAGACUUUUGCUCUUUUGGAACUAAGGCCAUACCUCAAAUGAGCUACAAAUAAGACUGUUUGGUGAAUCAGGACUUUGCCUGAAUUUUUAAAACGAUAAAGAGGACUUACUAAGAAUCCUUUGAGGGCAGUUCGUUUUUUUGACUCAGAUCACUCAGUCAACAAUUUAUCAUUAGAUUAAAAAAUAUCCCCAGACCAACAAAAAACAGGAUAUUUAUCCUAUGAUUUAAGAU